rnacentral:lncRNA from 1 species
UGAACGUCGUCUUCCUUCUAGUCUUGUAAAAAAUCUUUUCAACUUACAUUUGCUUCGAUCCGAAAUGGAACUCAAUCAUAACAGAUAAACAGAAUGGAUUAGAGAACUCUCAUUCUGUCAGCUGGAUAGAAUGCCGCAACAAUGAAUCCUGUAUAUAUGCACCUUGAAUUACAGAAUUUUACGUUGACCUGUUUAUAGUUUGCAGAUUUAGUUGACGUUUUCGUACGUUAUCUUUGAUGGUUGUGACAUUAUGCAGAAUAGGUUUUCAACCUUUAAUGCUGGCUUAUUCUCUAACUCACACAGCGAGCAUGGUUUGGCGGGGAAUGUUUUUGAACACGCUGUCGAUCGAGUACGAAAAUGGAGAAUGUAGACGUCCGCCAAUGCUAUUUCCUUCAGCUUCAGAGGUAUUACACCCGUACUAGAUAUACCUUCAUUCUUUAGUCUGCUAACAGUGAAAUUAGCUACCUAAAUGCUUGGUUCCAUUUCGUGCUUUGGUAAGAGCGUUAAUGGUAUCCUGUGAUAAGAGAAUCACACCACGUGUUGUCAAACACUUGUCGAGUCAAACUCCGAUAAAUCUCAGGUUAUGCUUUGUGUAGUUUAUGAUUAUUCUAUAAAUUUAAUCAUUGUAUUGACUUCAUGCCUUUCCCAAGUCAAGGCUUUGACGACUUUGCUGAUUCUAUGAUUUGUUUUCUAACUAUUAAUCAUGUUGACUCAUUAACAAAGCUCACUCGACUAUUACCCAAUUCAAUCCAAUAAUUAUAAUUUGUAUGUUUCUGCGCGAACUUUCUCCACACAAGUUAUCUUCAUCAUGUGCAGUCAUCUAUGUGGGCCCGUUUUUAAAGGUUCAUCCAACGACAAAUAGCUAUGUUUAUUGAACUAUGUUCAUCUUAUGGUCCAAGACUAACCUCCAAUCGUUAUAAAUAGUAAGCAUCGAGUUGCCAUGUGCAUUAGUUUGAAUACUCAACUGCAUUGCUUUACGAAGUCAUGAAUUUUCAAAUCUUUUAUUAAUAAAGCCAGAGGGGGGGGGGGGGGGACAACCCUCGAGCUUGUACGAAUCUAGAAUCUGUUGGAGAUGAGUAUUGGCAAUGAAUAUUCAAGAAUUUGGGUAGGUCCAAAAGAAGGAAGAUGUAAUCAUCCCUGGCACCAAGCAUCAAACUAGAGACCUCAUUCAUUGUUAUGGAAUCACCUCCCACAUACAUCAGUCUCUUGUUCAUGAUCUUCCCUCCAAAGCUUCAAAAAUUAUAUGUGAAGAAAGAUUGUACCACUGCCCCUGCCCAAUGUUUGCCAAGAAUGGCCAUGCACAAAAGAAAACAAGCAGGGAUACACUUUUCCACCCAAAUGUCAUGUUUGUAUAAUCAUCCAAAAUAUGGCAUUCAUCAAUAUGUAUAAGAUUAGGAGUUAUUUUGCCAAAUCAAUAUUAACAUCAUUGGUACAUAAUUCCAAGAUCAAUCUUGACCUUAGAUAGUCAUUAAAUAUGAUCUAUGCAUCUUUAUGUAUUUUUAUUAUUAUUAUCAUGAUUCCAUAAAGUAUUUCUUGUUAAAUGUAUACUUUGUUGAAAAUUAAGAAUUAAACCUUACAUACUCUGACAAACACACUUCUAAUUUUGCCUACAUAAAACAAUGUACAGAUUGUGCCAAGUUAAUUGUAUAUAUAAAAACCUGAACAAAAAUGAAAAGUAAUUGGAUUAAUUUUUCUAAAAUAAUUUUUCUAUUUUUAAUUUUUUAUAUAUAAAAAUUUAUAAUUCCUACUUUACAAUCUAACUUGUUUGUUUGCAUUUUAUAUCCUAAAAAAAAAAAAAAAAAAAAAAAAACAACAACAACAACAAUAACAACAACAACAUCAAAAAUAACAAAGAAAAUUUAUUUUACAAGAUGAGUUAAUUUUAAAAAAUAAUAAUAAUCAAAUUAACAAUAGAAUAUAAUUCUAUUUUUUUUUUUUUUUUUCUUUGAGUAAGCUUGUUUUACAAAUCUUAUUCUAAGUAGAUGUUAGUAGUCAUCAACUAAUUUAUUAAAUAUAAUUUCAUUCUUAGAUCCAUAAGUUUAUUUUAAUUUAAAAAUUUAAUACUUAUUUUGAUAAUAAUAGUUUAUUUUACACAAUUUUUUAUUUUUUUUAUUUUGAAAAAUAAAUAAAAUUAUAAUUUAUAUGUAUAUAUAUAGUAUUUUAGUUUAAUAAAGUUUAUAAAUAUAAUAAUAUAUCAAAUAAUAUUUUUAAAUCAUAGUUCUUAAAUCCAUAAAUUUUUCUUAUUGAUUUGAUUCAAUAUUAAAUAUUAUCUAAAAUUUUAAAUCUAUUUUAUAUCCUAUACCAAAUUUUUAUAAUAUAUUUUUUCAUAGAAAAUUUCAUAAAACUUAUAAUUUUUCAUGACAAAGCUUAUAAAAUAUACAAUAUUUAUCCCAAUAUCCAUUAUUUGGCUAAAUUAUCACCAUUAUCCUAAAAAAGUAAAUUUAGCCACUUAUUUCAGAGUCCAAAAGAGAAUCUUUAAAGAAGUGUUGCACAAUGGCCAAUACAUUUAUAAAGUCAUUACAUUAGAAAGUCUCCAUAAUUAUAAAGUGCUUGGUUCUAUAAAAGCAAGAUAAUAAGAGAGUUGAGGCUUGUUCACAACAAGAAUUGAAAAUAAAAGAAGGAUCGAAGAAGAAUAUGAUGGCAUUUGAAAGAAAAAAAUUGGUAGUUGAAAAAGUCAAAAAGAAGGUGAUUUGAAAAUGUAAAAGAGAAGAAAAGUUCUUUGAUUCUCUCUAGUCACAGUUAAGUCAAAGAAAGAAUGUGCAAAAAAUAUAUCAAAUUAUAACUUUUAUGAAAAAACCAUACAUAUAAAAAAAUUAAUUUAUAACUUGUAUUCUAAUUUAUAUAUCAUAUUUUAUAUUAAAUUUUGUUUGGCACUAAUAAACACUCAAUGCACAAUUGUGUGCCAUGGCUUUAUCUUGGACCUUUUUUCUAAAUAAAAUGGUCUUUUUUGACAUAGAAAUACAAAUUUUUGAUAGCUCUUGGUUAAUCUUAGUGAAUUAAAUUAUCUACAUAUUAUCUUAAUCAAUAAAAAAAAGUUAUAAAAAUGUAAUAUACAAAAAUCCAAUCUAUAAUUGAAUUGGAUAUAAUUUUUUCUAAAUAAAUUCCACGUAUCUUUUAAGAUUCUGAUGUAGGAUUUAUUUGUAAUCCUUGAUUUAGCCAAACAAUAGUAGAAUUCUUUGUUAAUCAACUAUUCUAUGAUUCAAGACUUAUAGCCAAGGAUAAUUGUUCAACUCAAAUCACAAACUAAAUCUGCUAAUAAGUAUUGCUUAUGAUCUAAGUCUUUUUUGAGAUUUUUAUAUAAUUUUAUCUUCUCAAAUAUUAAUUAUUUUUUUAUUUCUAUCUAUUAAUAUUAUCUAGAUAAUUAUUAGAAUAAAUAUAUAUGUCCAUGAUGUCACUCUUCUUUUUUAAGGACAAGUUCCAUAAGGAGUAGUGAUCACAUGUUGAUGAAGUUCAAGAUGCAACUAAUUGUAUUUGCUACAUACUCUAAUCCUUGUUAAUUUUGAAGGUAGUUGAUAAGUUUUCUUGACCAUUAAUAAUAUCUCAUUCUAAGAUAAAAAUUCAAUCUUAUUAUUUAAUUAUUAUUGAAGCUAUCAUAACUUCUUUUAAAAUAAAUAUUUAUUAUACUAACAAUAAUUAUUUCUACCUCUAAUAAAAUCAUCAAACAUUGAAAGUCUCUAUCAAGGUUGUGAUAGCAAACUUAUUAUAUCUUGCUAUCCAUUCAAAUAAGAACAUGUCAUUCUUCAGGAUCUUCAUUUCAAUUAUAUUGACUUAAAGGUUCAAAGAAUUAUAAUCUCUUAUUUGUUAAAUUAGCAAAUGAUGGCUUUUGAGUUGAAUUUGAUAGAUGCAGAUUUUCCAUCUUGAUAUCAUAAUAAAAUAUAAAGAAUUUACAAUAAAGGAUAGAACAUAAAAUAUAAUUUCUAUUAAAUAUUUUUUUUUUAUAGUAAGGAAUUAUUUGACUCUUUAUCUUAAUUUUGAUAGAUGUCGUUGAUGAAAAGUUUCAAUCUUCUCUGCUAGAUUUAUAAGAUUCUUUGCAUGCUUUCAUAUUCAUUUACUAAUAUCAUAUUUGCGCUAAUGAAUGAAAUAUCCCAAACUAUUUUAGAGCCACCUUGAAUUUAAAACUUCUUCUACCUUGGAUUUCAUGAUUAUUAUCUACUUUUGUAGAAGGCAAUGGUAUUUAUCUUCUUCUUGAAAUAUUCACUAUCUUAUAUGGCUCAAAAAGAGACAUAUAAUAAAUAAGAUGGAUUUUCAUAGUCUUUGGUAAAUGUAAUUGAUAAGCAAUUGAAUUGACUUAUUCACAUAUAAAAAAUGGUUUAAAUCUAAGAUAAUCUAAUUUUUUAUAAGAACAAAUAAUCUUAAUAUUACAAUAAAGUAAUCAUAAUUUAUUGCUAAUAUAGAAUAGAGGUUGUUUUUUGUGAUAGAAAUCUUUUUUGAUCUAUUAUUGUUUUUUGAAUUUUUUUUAAAAAUAUGCCUUCAUUAUUGUAUGUAGCUUAAAUAAACAAUUUGCCAAAUCUUUUGCUACAAGAUUAUCAACUUUUAAAAAAUCAAAAACAUCAAGUUAUAUAUGAUGAUCAUAAAUAGUAAAAAAAGUUGUUUAUUGAAUAAAAGAAUAUAACAUGUUAUUAUAAGCAAAUUUUAUUAAUGAUAAAAGAAUUGUUUAAUCAUCUUAUUGAGAAUUGAUAGUAGAUCUCAAAUAUUGCUCCAAAACUUAAUUUAUACACUCCAUUUGUCCAUCAAUUUGACAAUAGAAAGUUAAAAAUAAUUUUAUGUUUAUCUUCAAAAUCUUAAAAAUAAUUUUCUAAAAUCUUGAUAUAAAUUGAAUCAUCCUAUUUGAUAUGAUAUCUUAUAUUAUUAUCCAUGAUUGUAAUAUAUAUUAUGAAAAAAAAUCUUAGCUUUUUCUUCACCUAUGAUAGAUUCUGUACAACGUAUAAAAAGUGCCAUCUUAAUAAAAUAAUCUACUAUCACAAAUAUAGAAUUAUAGAAACUUCAUAUUAAAAAAUCUAUGAUAAAAUCUAUAGAAAUAAAAGACCAUGGUAGUUUUAGAAUAAGUAAUGAUUGAAGAAGUUUAUAAAAACAAUGCCAAAGAGUUUUUAAUCUUAAACAAAUGUCACAUGAUUGUACAAAAUCUUUGACUACUUUUCAUAUUUGAGGGUAUCAAAAAUCUUUAGAUAUUAAUUCUAAAGUCUUGUUAGAUCCAAAAUGUCUUCUUUUUGGAAAGUUUUUAAUCUUGACAAGCUUAAAAUAUAAAUAAUCCAGCUUCAUUUUUUGAAAUAAAAAAUAAUUCUAAAAAUAGAAUAAAUUACUAUUAAAUUUAAAUUUAGAAAUAUCAUGAAAUUUUAAAGAAUUUUUCUUAAUAUCACAAAUAAGAAGAUGAAAGGUCAUACUUGACUAAACUUGUAUAAAAAAAGUUGAAUCAAUAGUUAAUAUUGAUUUUAUUUUUCAAAGAUGAAAUUUUUCUUCUUUUAAGAUAAUUAUUUGUUAUUGAUCUAAAGUUUUAUUUUCUUCUUUUAUUUUAAGAUAAGAUCAUUUAAAAAAUAUUUAAAAAACCUUGUUGUUUUUCUGACCAAUAAGUAAUCUUGAAUUCAAAUCUUGACAAAGAUAUGUAUCAAAGGAUUUGGUGACAAUUCAAAACAUAUGUUGAUUAAAGAAUACUUAAGGUUCUUAUGAUCUAUAUAUAGAAUGAUUAGAUUAAAAUCUCUUUUAAGAUAAUAGUACCAUUUUUAAAAUAAAUACAUAAUUAUAAGAAUUUUUUUAUUAUGGAUCUUAUAGUUGAUCUUGACUGUUGAAAAUUUUCUUAAAUAAAAAACUAUUGGAUAAAGAAUAUCAUUUUUUUUCCCAUUUGUGACAAUAUAAAACUCAAAGCAAAGUUCAAUGCAUUUAUUUCCAUAGGAAAUGGCUUGAAAAAAUUGAUAUGAUAAAAGUUUGGUGCAAAAACAAAGACUAUCUUCAAAGCUGCAAAUGUUACUUAUACUUCUUAAUUCCAUUGAAGUUUGUCUUUAUAAGUCAAAUGUCUAAGCUAAGCUAUAACUUGAGAGAAUUUCUUCAUGAAGAUUUCAUAGUAAUUUGCAUAUUUCAAAAAAUAUUAAAUAUUUUUUAUAAUUUUUGAAAUCUUCUUAUUUAUAAAUAUUUGAACUUUCUUGAGAUCCAUAAUGUGUCCAUUAUUUGAAAUGAUGUAUCUUAAGAAGUCGACUUGAAUAAUAUAAAAUAUACACUUUUUUAUCUUGGCAUAGAGUCUUGCAUCUCUUAAUUUUUGUAUCACACAACAAAUAUGAAGUUCAUAUUCUUAUGUAUUUUUAUUAUACAUUUAAAUAUUGUCUAGAUAAUAAAUAACAAAAUUGUCCAAAAAAUCUCAAAAGAUAACAUUUAUUAGAUAUUGAAAAGUUGGUAGUAUAUUUGUAAGUCUAAAAGGUAUGACAUUGUAUUCAAAAUAUCUAUAUCUAAUUUGAAAUACAAUCUUUUAUUCAUAUCUUUCUUUGAUGAAUACCAAAUUGUACAUUCUUUGUAGAUUUAUUUUUGUAUAGAUUAUGGUUUAAUUCAAUUGAUCAAGAAGUUUGGAUAUCAAAAAUAGAAGAUACCUAUUCUUAAUAGUGAUAUUGUUAAGUCCUCAAUAAUUGACACAUAUCUAUAAUGAUAUAUCUUUUUUCUUCACAAAUAAAAUUGGAGCUUUUAUUUGAGGUUAGGAAUGGCAUAUGAAAUUCUUUACUAGAUUUUUUUUUAAUAUAUUCCUGAACUUUAGCCAAUUCAUUUUGUAAUAAAUUUUUUAUUGAUCCAAAUGGUGGUUGAACUUCCUCUUAAAGAUUAAUUGAGUAGUUAUAGGAAUAAUAUUUUCAUAAAGUAUCUAUAUUUUUUUUCUCAAAAGUAUCUUGAUAAUCUUGAUAUUAGCUUGGAAUAAUACUUGAAGUCUUUCUACAAUUAAAAAUAUGUGUGACAUAAAUAAUACAAGAUAAUCCUUAUUUUGCACUAUGUAAGAAAGCUUUACCAUCUACAACUACAGGUUUAGUUAUAUUAGACUUAUGACUUUUUACUUAAUUAACAAUAUUCUUAUUUCUACCUUCAAAAAAGUCAAAAUUAUAAGAAAUUCAAUCUAUUUGAAGUUUAUAUUUUUCUAUCUUUUAUAAACUUAAAAUAAUUGGAUUAAAAAAUAUUUAAUAUUAUUAAAUAUUAUAAAGGUACUAUGACCAUUAAUUGCUACUUCUAUAGAAAGGAUUCUAUGAAAAAUACCUCAAAAAGAUAAUAGAUGAUCAUCUAUGAGUUCUAUGUGAACACGUUUAAUUUUCUUUAUUAAAAUUAUGUUAUGUCUUUUAAUAAAUUCUUUAUCUAAAGAACAAACUAAGAUUCCUAAAUCUAGCAAAGAAAAAGCUUUGUAAUAUUUAGGUCCUAAACUAACAUCUAUUAUAAAAAAAAAUCAUUCUAUAGAAAGAAUUGGACCUUUAUUAGGUGUUAUACAAGGUUUCAACCGCAUGAUUUCUAUUAUAGCUAAACAAACUCAUUUUUCAACAUAUUGUCUAUUUGUUCAUAGCCAUACUUUUUAUUUUAUAGUUGUAUUGGUUCUUUCGAUAAUGUAAAGUAGUAUACUUAAGUUCUUUAUAAUAUAAGUAUAAUCUUUUCUAAUAAUGACAAGUCUUUUAUUAUUCAAUGAAAAAUUUGAAACAUACUGCAUCAAUUUGUAUAUCCUAUAUUUCUAAAUGUAUGUAUUGAAAAAAUGUUGGUAUUAUCAUUAAAUUAAAAUAACAUUGAAGUUCAUUUGUGCAACUUUGAGAUGAAAGUAUAAAAAGUUAGUUGUUAGAUUUUACAACUAAGUCAAUUGUUUGAUUUAAUGUUUGAAUAUCAAGUAAAUUGAGCAUCAAUUUCUUUACCUAAUAUUGUAAUCAAUAAAAAAAUUAGCUAUUGAGUAUAACAUUAUGUCACUUAAUAUCAAUUAUAUGCUAUUAAAAUUAUAAAAUAUAUAAUAUUAUAGAUUGAUUGUUUUAUCAUAAAAUAUAGAUUUUUUUAAUUGUAACAUAAAUUAUAUCAUAUUUCUAUAUAUAAAUCAAAAUUUUAUCAAAAAAUCAUCUAAAUUAUCUAAUAUUAGAUCAUAAUAUUCAAAAAAAUCAUAAAAAUCAUAAUAAUAUAGAAUAUAAAAAGACUCUACUAAUAAACUUGACUUGUAAUUUAAAAGUUGAAUAGCUUUGGCAUUAAAAUUCAAUUGCCAGUUAUAUUUAAUAGAUGAAUUUUAAAAUUUUUAUUCUUAUACCAUCAAAGUUCUCAAACAAAGAAAUUUUUGGUUCUUUAAAGUUUAGAUAAUAUUUUACUAUAAAAAGAGUAGAAUCAUUUGGUGUAGAUAUUGAAGCACCUCCAAUCAUCUCUAUAUCUUUACUACCUACUAAUCUUAUUGUUCUUUGUAGUGGAAAAUUGAGCUUAUGCAUUCCAAGCAAUAAUUCUCUCAAUUGUUCUUGAAUUUGUGAUAAUUCUCUUCCAAUAGUAUGUCUAAAUUGUUUCUUAGUAAUAGACGAGGUUUUGUGCAAGUUUUCAUAUUGAAUCAAGGAUGAGACAACCUUUCCAGAGGACUUUGUAUUAAAGUUGAGGACACCCAUUAUAACGGCAAAAAAAGCAAUGAUCCAAAAUAUUAUCUAAUUCAUACUCUUAUUAGUCAUCAACUACAACUGAUGGUAGUAGUGGUUAAUAUUGGUCUAGAAUACAUCUUGGCUCAAUAUGAAAUUCCUUGAGUUGCAAAACAUAAAAGAUUCAAUAGAUUCAAAUAUGUGACAAAAGCUCGAGGUAAUAUGUGAUAUUAGAAAUCUUUGCAGAAAUGUAAAAAGGUCCAAGCCAUCGACAUGUCAAUUUAUAUAUUUGAGUUGAUGUAAGAAGUUGGCAUUGAAAAAAAACACCUAAUCAUUUUUUUAGAAGAUCUUGUGUUACCGAUGAUUAUCCGCAUACUACUUCUGUAAAUUCUAUGUAGUAAAAAAAUGAUAUCAUGUCUCUUGUAAGGUUGUUAUAAGUCGUUGUAUAUAUCCCUUUGUUGUUAGAUUAUUGGUAUCGAUGAGAUAAUAGAGAAUUAUUGGCUAAAUCAAAUGUCGACCAGUGUUAAAGAAGAAUGGUGAAUGAUUGGUACUUGUUUGAAUACUAUCAUUGUAAGAAAACUCCAAGGGUGUCAAAUAUUCAUUCCAAUCAUUGUGAUGAGCUGCCACAAAUGUCCAUAUUAUAUCUUUUAAGAUCUAAUUUGCAUGCUUUGUUUGUCCAUCUAUUUAGGAAUAAAAGAUCGUAGACAUGGUAAGUCAUAUGCUUAAUAGUUUGAAUUAGGUUUGCCAAAAACUUCCUAUGAAAUAUGAAUCUUGAUCUGAAAUGAUAACAUAAGGAAAUCCAAGGUGACGAAAGAUAGUAUCAAAGAAGAUUUAUGCAAAUACGGAGGCAUCAAUAUCCAAGCACAUCGUAGCUAAGUGAAGUUGCUUUAAGAGUUGGUUCAUAAAAAUAAUAAUUAUGAUGCGAUUGUGAGGUAUUUAGGACAUACACGUAAUGAGAUUCAUAAUCACCUACUCCCAUUAUACUGUAGGUAGUGGAAUUGGUAACAAUAGUCUAAUAGAUGCUUCAUUAUAUACUUUAUUAUAUUAAGAUAACUCGCAAGAGUACACAAAAGCUUAAACAUCAUGAUCCAAAUCUAUCCAAAAUCAUGUCUUGGAAUCUGUUCUAAAGUCUUUUUAUACUUUAGAUGUCCAAAUAUUUGGAUGUCAUGUCCUUCUUGAAUUAUGUGCAUCCAAAGUAUAGCAUUGUCAAGUAUAUAAAUCUACUUCUUUAAAUAGAAAAAUCUAUUUCUAAGACUGUAAUCUUGAUACUAUAUAUCAUCUACUUUGGAUCAAUUGCUAACCAUCUUAAAAUAAGCAUCUCAAUGCAUAACUUCCUUCCAUUUUAUUUCUUUGGUUAGAUUUGAAAUGAUACUACUAAUGAUAGUAACUUCUAUCUUAUCUCUUAAUUUGGCUUUCAAGUACAGUCUUUGCAAUAAGUUGUCUGGCACAAUUUAUUAUUGCCCUUGCUUGUAGUCAAGCUGAAUGUCAAAAAGAAGGAGAUGACUUGAGAAAUAUCCUUGGAAGUUGCACUGCUUUCACCUUAUUUUGCUCCAUGCAUAUGCCUUCAAAAGACACUACAUGCCCCAAAAAGUAACCUCUGACUUCCAAAGUUUAUACUUUAAUUACUAGCAAUAAAAACAACUAUUUUAUAACUAGUACAAAACUUCUUAUAGAUGUUGCUCAUGCUUCUUAGGGAUUUUAUUAUAUACUAGAAUAUCAUCAAUGAAGAUAAUUACAUACUUCUCUAAAAAGUCCCAAAAUAAUUUAUUUAUAUAAUUUAUGAAGGAGGUUGGAGCAUUGGUGAGGCUAAAAGGUUAAAUAAGCCAUUCAAAGUGUCCAUAGCACAUACAAAAUGCCGUCUUUUCUAUAUCCUCUCUUGCAAUAGGUAUUUGUACCACGGACACAGAAAUUGUCACGGAUAUAGAAAUUAUCAUGAACACAGAAAUACAGGCUCGAGAUCUAACAAGAAGUUCAAGAAGAACUGACAAGAAUUAGAUUAAUCAGAUGAAUACAAGAACAACACCAGAGAGGUGAGCUAGAGCUCCAAGAGAUGUGUUGUCGAGACUGAAGAACUUUUCAGCCUCGAUUCCAAUAUAUACUCCUAUUUAGGAAGCUUCUCAAGCAACUUCUACCAACUAGGAAGCUUCUCAAGUAACUUCCACCAACUAAGAAGCUUUUCAAGCAACUUCCACCAACUAAGAAGCUUCUCAAGCAACUUCUACCAACUAGGAAGCUUUUCAAGCAACUUCCAUCAACUAGGAAGCUUCUCAAGUGACUUCCAUCAAUUAAGAAGCUUUUCAAGUAACUUCCACCAACUAAGAAGCUUUUCAAGCAACUUCUACUAACUAGGAAGCUUCUCAAGCAACUUCUAUCAAUUAAGAAGCUUCUAGAAGGUUCCAGAGACUUACUUCUAGAAGGUUCUAGAAACUUGUCUCUAGAAGGUUCUAAGGACUAUGUCCCUAACAAUUUGCCAAUAGCCACUCCAAAGGUCUAAUUUAUUAAAGAUGGUCACAUAUCAAAAUUAGUCAAAAAGAUUAUCUAUUCAUAGAAAUAAAUAUGCAUUCUUAAUAGUUUGCUUAUUGAAGCCUCUAUAGUCGAUGUAAAGUCAAAAUCUACCAUCAUUUUUGGAUGCAAAGAACAUAGGUGCUCUCCUUUAGUGAUGUAAUUUCUUGAAAGAAAUCCUUCUCCAAGAAUUCAUCCAAUAUCUUCCACAGCUCUUCAAGUUCAUUUGAUGUUAGGCGAUAAAUUGGUCAACUUGUCAGUUUGGUCCAAGGCAAUAGUUCUAUUUGGAAGAGGGCACCUCAAUCAGAAAGCACACCAUUAAGUAGAUCAAUUGGAAAGACAUCCUAAUAUUUUUAUAUAAGUUAUUUUACCAAUUCUAUUUAUUCAAAUGUCUUUUUUACUACUGAUACAAGAUUUGGAACUACCAUAUAUAUUGGUUGUUAUGCUAUGUUUGGUUAUUCAUAAAGGUCAUUCCUAUGAGUAAGCCUUUAAUUGCAAAUUUUUUUUUCCUCACUUAAUACGGAGGUACAAAGAAUCUUUUUGUAUUUACAUAAGUACUCUAAUAAAUCCUUAUAUAAUAAGAUAGAAGUAAAAGUAGAAAAAAUUAGGUUAAUUUCAUAAUACCUUCUAAAAAAUCUUCCUAAAAGCUUUGUAGAUAUUAUUUUGACUUUACAUGUAUUUGUAAUUAAUUUAUAAGUUAAAAACUUGAUCAAAAAGUUAAUCACAUGUUGAUAGCUUCUAGAAUAAGCUAAUUAUAUGGCACACAUAUAUAAAACUUGCAUUGCGAAUUAAAAUACGUAUAUUAUAAAGUCAACAUAUUUUAGAGGUCUUAUAGGAUAUUGCCAUGUAGCUCUUAAUUAAGAAUAUUUAUAGAAGCAAAAGUGUAGCCUUCUUUACUCUUGUCAAUGCCUUUCUAGUCUUUAGUCUUAUUUUUUAGAUUUUUUAGUCUUCUUUUUUUAGUAAAAGCCAUUUUAAUUCAAUAAUAUACCAUCUUUAAGUGACUUUCUAGUUCUUUUCAGUGUCACAAGAGUAUAUUGAGAUUUUUUUUUUUUUUUGAGAUUUAUAUCCUUGAUAGUUUAACAAAAGUGCUAACUUAUUAUUUUUCUCAUAUAUUAAAAAAGAGUGGAUUAUUCCACUUCUAUUGUUAUGUUUUGAAGAUUAUAGAUUAUCCAAUUUUAAACAAAUUAUCUUAUUUUUAACAUUGAUAUUUUUUUUAAAGAGAGUGAAUUAUCCCUUUUUGUAGAAAUUUUUAUUUGAUAUUAGAGAUUGUAAAUUAUCCUUCUCUAAUUUGUCCAUUUAAACUUGUUUGAGUUAUCUAUUAAAGAAAGGAUUAUGGAUGCUAUUUUUAGUAGAAUUAAGAAUAGAUUUAUAACUAUUAUAGAUUUUCAUGAAUUUGUCAAUACUUUAAAAAUAAAAAUCCCAUGUAUUUUUAAUGUGAAUCAUGGAGGUACUAUUCCUAUGUCUAUGGAAGAAGUUCAAAGUCUGCGGUAAGAAGUUGUGUAAUUGAAGGAAGCAAUUAGAUCGACCUCACAACCAAAUUCAAAGAGUUUUGCCUCUACAAGUAUGAUAGGAACAAGGAUUAUUAUGCAUGAGAAGUUUGAUGGAACAAGAUCAAAAUCUUGAGAAUUUUUGCAACAAGUCAAGCUCUAUCUAAGGUUGCAUCCCUUCUAAUACCUUGAUGGAUUUACUCAAGUUGAAUUCAUAAAUGUACUUCUAUCAAAAAGUGUUCUCUCUUAGUUUGUACAUUUAAUAGAAAAAGAUUUGCGACUCCUUUACAAUUUGAAUUCAUUCUUAGAAGUAUUUAUGGCCAUAUUUAGAGAAAGUAAUCAAGAAAGAUUAGCAAAGAUUAAGCUCUUAUCUUUGCGGCAAGGCUCAUGGUCAACCACCAUAUAUGCUGCUGAAUUCUAAAAUCUAGCUUGCAACAUGGACUAUAAUGACAAAGCCCUUAUCAAUCAAUUUUGAUAUGAAUUGAAAGAUAAUAUCAAAGAUUUAUUAUUGACAAUAUCAAAGGCAGAAUCUUUGAAACAAUUUAUUGUUCAAACCAUUACAUGUAACAAUCGAUUAUUUAAAAGAUGUUAAGAAUAAAGACUUAGUUGCAAAGAAAAAAAUCAAAUAUUAAUUGUAGCUUCCAAGUUUUUGGAAACACAUUCAUUAAAACAUAAUCCAAUGCAAAUAGAUGCAAUAUAUUUUAAAUUCUUCAUGGAGCAAGAAAAGACUUGACAAUGUUAAGAGGGUAUAUGCUUAUAUUGUAGAAAAACUAAACACAUUGCUUAACAUUAUCCAAAAAAAUAAUACAACCACAAAAUAAAAAGCAUAGUUGCCAAAGAGGACGAUGUAUCAAAAAAUAAGUUUUUCUUGCUAUAAUAAAGAUCAUAUGGCUUGAAUCUUAUGUAACUCUUAAAAAAGAUCAUAUUCUCUCCUUAGAUCCCUCACCUUAUUUUACAAUAGAAGUUUAUUUAAGACCAAAAAAUUACAAAGUCUUAGCUUUCUCAAAUUUAAGAGUCUCAAAUUGUUUUAUAGACAAUGAUUUUGUAAAAAAAUAAGAGAUAUUAUUAGUUUAAAAAACUAAACUUAUACAUGUAGAAGUCAUAAAUGGUUGUUUGCUAUCUUUAAGAGAUGUUAUGUAUGAGAUUUUUCUUUUAGAUGUAGCAAUUAAAGAUAAUAAUUGCAUAGUAAUUGAAACAGGACCAAUCUAUCUUCAGAGUCUAAGACUCUUCUAAUCUAUAGGAACAUAAAACCUCAUUAUAAAGUAGCACAAAAUAGACCAAAACAAAACUGAAGAAAAUUAAACAAAAUAGGAAAUAAAAGACAAAAUUGUGCAAAUAAAAAUAGAUCAAAAUAAAACUGAACAAAAAGAUGUAAAAUUAAACUUUAUUAAGAGAAAAGAUCCAAAGCCAUACUUGACUAAAUGCCUUAAAAGGCCCUAGCGAAUCCUAUUUAUAUUUUAUUCUAUUAUCCUCAACUUUAUAGAAUGUUCUUAAUUGAUGGAUCUUACUUAGAUAAUCGCCCUAAACUCUUUUUAGAAGGUUCCAUCAUACACCUCACCUACAUAACCAUCCUAAGCCUUUUUAAGAAGGUUCCAUGGUAGGCCCUACCUAAAUAACCACCCUAAGCUCUUUCUAGAAUGUUUUACAAUUGAUCAUACAUAGUCCACUAACUUAGCCCCAAUUCUAGAAACUUCUAUAACUUUUCAAACAUAUUUCCAACUAUCUAUCAUUAUGUGUCAAUAAUACAAAUAUCUUACGUAACUCAUGUUAUAAUAAAUUUUCCUCUACUAAUAUGAAAUGUCUUCAUUUUGCUCAUAAUGGUGAUUCCAAAUUAUCUCUUGGUAAUAAAUGAGAAUCUGUACAAGUUCCUAUAUUGCAUUGUAGAUGGAAUAAUCUUUUCAAAGAACUUUAUACUAAAGUUGUAGAUUUUCACUGCCAUGGAAAAAAUAGAAAUGCCACAAAAUACUAUCCACUUCAUAUUUUAGUUGGUCAUCAAUUACAACUAGUAGUGGUAGUGGUUGGUGUUUGUGAUUGUCAUUUUACUUAUUCCGGAAGAAACUUUCCUUAAUAAAUUCGUAUUCAAACACAUGGAAAGACCAUAUAUAUGAGCUCCAAUUGUUAGGAUGACACAAUUAAUUGCUAUUGCUGAAUGCUUACAAUACCAAAGAAUACUUAACUUUGCCUCCUACUGUCUACUCUCUCAUAUCAAUAUGAUAACAACCACGACAUCAAUUUCAGUACCUUAUAUAAUUCACGAUCACGAAUACACAAGCAUAACCCAAACCUUGGAACAAACAACUUUCAAUCCACAGAAUCUAAUCGAGACAAUUCCUUUGAUUAUAAUUCAUAUCCACUGAACUCACAACCUUGCGAUAAACAGUGAUCCAUAAACAACUUCGUAAAUCAAAUAUUGAUUCAUUAAAUCGAUUCUCUUCACUAGAAUCAACACCAACACAAAAGAAACAAGAAAACUAAGAAGAAGAGAUAGCACCAAGCUUAUCCCAGCUCAAUACUAUUGCAGUUUGGCUCCCAGCUCAUGACUAUGACAAUCUGGCAUUUUCUUCCUCUCUCCCAUCCUCCUUAUACUACCUCAAGAUACCAACUCUUAUAUUAUGGAUGAUAACUAUUUUUUCUAACUAUUCAUCUAUUCUACCUACUGAACCACUUUUUUAGCAGUUAUCUAUCCAUGUUUACAUUAUACAUUAGAUAUCUACAUUCUCAAAAUAACUACUUAUUCUACAUAGCCCCACUCCUAACUGUGCAGCAUCCCCGCAAACACAAUAUUGAUAAAGAAAAACCAAUCUUUUUUUUUUUUUUUUUUUUUUUUUUUAAUUGAAUUGUUCAAUCUCUUCAAUUUUUGGCAGUGGCUCCAUUUGGUGUUGUUCCAACACUGUAUCUUCUUCUUCUAACUCCUCUUGAAUCUCUAUCCUUAAUUGAACUAUUAAAUCUUUAUUAUACGAUCCCAAUUUUUGAACCUGAGCUUCCAAUUGGAGUAUUCUGGCAUCUUUAGCUUCCAGUUGUUGUUGCUACUAUUGUAAUUUCUCCUCCAAUUUUCCAAUUCUUACUCCUGUUGAGGCAGAUGUCUGUGACUGACCAAUACUAACUAAAUCUCUCUCCAAUUUUGUUACUCUUUCCUUCAAAACAACAAUUUCUACCUGUAGCUCAUCCGUUUUGUUUCGAUAUUGGUCACCGAAUUGUUUCUUUUCAAGCUCCAAUACAUCCUUCUUCUCUCGUUCCAUCUUCAACUGAGCAUUCAUCUUUUCUUGUUGCAACCUAUACAAUUUGCAAGUUUGUAGUAAUUCUUACUUUUGAUUUUCUAGGAUAUGCUGAAUCCUCUAUUUCUCCUUUGACUAGUUUUCCACUCUCUCAUCUAAUUCACACUUCACUCGUAUUAUGGAUUCUGAUUUUACCUUGAUGACUUGUUCAUAUUCCCUGAUUUUACAAUUUUACUCCAAUAUCGUUUUCUUGCUCGCUUCUACUUGCCUUUUUAAGCUACCGUCAUCUUUGAGCUUAUUCAUUGUAAGUUGGAGCUCGGAAAUUUGAUCCAAUAUAACUUUCUUAAGAUUCCACCCUUCCGUUACACCCUGUCGAAAUCCUAAUUGGUUGCUUUCCCUUGCAAUCGAUAUUGGUAUUGUCAUCUCUAUUGUCGACCGAAUUAGAACUCGCUCUAGUGUAGAUAUUGGUCUUGCUUCCCGUUCUACCAUUCUGUUGGAUUCUCUCACUUCAUAUACUAUUAUUCCUGGACUAACUGUUCCCGUUUGUAAAUUUGGAACUAUUGAUUGAGAUUCUUAUUUCAAUGUAUAUUCAAUCAUUGAAUUUACAUAAUUGGAACAUAAUAGUGAAGCAAACUUCCCCAUCUUCUGCUUACCUCCCAUUUCUGCAUGUAUCUUUAUAGCCACGUAAGUUGCCCAAUUGAAUGCCAUGCCUUCCAGUGUUCCUAUCGCGGAAAACAGUAAUUGCUUUGCCAUGUAGGUGGUAUGCCGAUUCAAUGCUAACCGCUUCUGAACGAACUGCACCCAUUCCAUAAGUUCAAGCGUAAGUGCCUCCUGUACCUUCCAUCUUUGAUUUCGCUCGAGAGACGACAUUCCUCCUUUGAAGUAACUUUCUGGCAUGAAGUCAUUUGAUGCGUCUUCUCCCACCUCAAGCUCUUCGGUUGAUAAAUGCAAGACCUUGUAUAAGAUAUUCUUAUCUAUCCCAAUCAAAACUCCUCUUACCACACUCAAACCAUCAUCUGGAUCAUAAUUUUCUAUAUAUUCCACGACUUUUUCUAUAUCAAUUGGUGGUAGUUUAUUAUAUCCUCGCAAAAAUGUAAAUAAUUGUGCAUUUCUAAAAUCUUUUUGCCUUUUCAAUGACCAAUAGAUAUCUAACUUCAUCGGUUCCAUGUUGGUGAUAACUAUAAGAGACGGCGAUCCCAGAUCGCACUUAGACCUCACAUUGCGGCGACUUUUUGAUCGUUUUGGUGCUCUCUUCACUCUUUCCAUUGAUAUUGUGAAAAUCAAACUCUCAAUACUUCCUUGCGCUAACACUAUUGCUGAUUACUAUCGUAAAGCUUAAAGUUCAAAGCAUAAUAUUUGAAAUUUGCAACAAUGAAACCUUCUAUGAGUGUCCCAUUCCUAAUUGCUUACUCGGGGUCCGAAUCAAGAACCUCUAAUCCAGUGUACCUUAAUCUCAUGUCUAAUCAAGAAUGUCUAAUUUCCUGACUAGUCAAUUUCAGUACCCAAAACUAACCAUCAAUUGAUUCUUAGCUAUCAUAACCUUUCCAAUCUUGUCAGGUAAUUAUUAUUACGGAGACUCCUUCCUGCCAUUGAGUAAACCCAUCCCGGAUUUAUGUAUAAUACAAACAUAACCGAUUCUCAUUAACGCGUGUUGUGAAGUGGGUUCCCAGAAAAUCUUCCAAUUGAACUGAAGCAUUAAGGAAACCUUUCAUUAUCCGAUAUGGCCUAUGCCAUCGUACUUGAAAUUUACUGGGAAAGUUGUUGAAGCGGCUAUUAUAAAGUAGCACCAGAACAUUGGGCAUAAAAUAUUUUGGCCGUAACUUACUGUCGUAAUAACUCUUUCUGUGGCACUCUGUACCUUUCAUGAUCAAGAGAGCCGUAGCCCGAGCUUCAUCAAAUUUUUUCAAUUAGACUAAUCUAUAUUGAAGAAAUUCUCUAUCUCCCAUACGUUCAUCCAACGCAAUUCAUAAAUUUUGGACCUCCAAUUCAAUUGGUAGAAUUUCCUCCUAAUCGUAUACCAAUUGAAAUGGGAUAGAAUUGGUAGUUACUUUAUAUGCAAUAUAGUACGCCCAUAAAGCUACAAACAAUUUAGUAUCCCAAUCGGUUUCUGCUAUUGAAAUAGUCUUUGUUAAGAUCUUACAUAGGAUAUCAUUGGUCUUUUCUGUCUGUCCAUUGGCUCGUGGAUGAUAAGGUGUAGUUUUGUGGUGCUUGAUCUCAUACUUUGCUAUUAAUGCUUCAAUUGUUGUAUUAAUAAAAUGUGUUUCGUGAUCACUAACCAAUUCUUUCGGACAGCCAAAACGAAUAAUAAUGUUCUCAUAUAAAAAUAUUGCUACGAUAUUGGCAUUAUCAGUUUUCAUUGCCAUAGCCUCCGCCCAUUUGGUGAUAUAAUCGAUGGCUAUUAGAAUAUAACGUUUAUGUCCAUUUCGAGAGGGAGGUACAAUGGGUCCUAAAAAGUCAAUACUCCAUUUUUUGAAUGGUGCUUGUGCCAAAAUUGGUACCAAUGGUAUUGCAGAAGUUCCAGUAGGGCGACCAAUUCAUUGGCAAGGAUCACAAUGACAAACAUAUUGGUGUGCAUCCGAAAACAUUGUUGGCCACCAAUAUCCAACCAUUAAAGCCUUACGUGCGGUGCUAUCACCUGCAAAAUGUCCUCCACAACUGUCCAAAUGACAUCCUUCCAAAAUUGUACGAACUUCACUUUGAAAGAUGCAAUAACAUAAAAUUCCAUCCUGCCCUUGUUUGUACAAGGCAUCUCCAAGCAUGGUAUAUGGCACACUUUUUAAAAUCAGAUGCUUCUUUAAUUUUUCAUUAUAAGAAAUUGAAAAAGUCUGAAAUAUUAGAUAUUGGAUCAAUUCACCAUAUUCGAGUGUAAUGACAUCUACAUCAAUUAAUUGUGCAUCCAAAAGAGCAUUGUUUGUAGGCUCAUUAUCUAGUAUAUUAGAUAAAUGGGAUAAGUGAUCCACAUUGGCAUGGUUCUUGUCGGGUCGAACGUUAAUCGUAAAGUUGAAUUCCUAGAGAAAUAACAUCCAUCGAGCAAUUUGUCCACUCAAUUGAGGUUUAUUUAUUAUGUACUUAAAUACAUCAUGAUCGACAUAGAACACAAAUAGAUAUCCAAGUAGAUAGUGGCAGAAUUUCUGUACAGAGUAUAUCAUUCCGAGGGCUUCUCGCUCGGUAGUAUUAUAAUUUCGUUGUACAGUAAUGAAUUAUCGGCUCGCAUAAUAUAUGAGAUGAUCUAACUCUUUUUCAUCCUUUUGACUGAGAAUGGAUCCAAUAGCAACAUUGGACGCGUCCACAUAGAUAUAAAAUGGUUUUAUCCAACAAGGUAUUACAAUAAUUGAGACAAAUAUCAAUUUCCAUUUCAAUUCGUCGAAUGCAAAAGUACAAUCUUUAGUCCAUAUUGGACUAGAUCCAUUUGACAGGGGUUUCUUUAACAAGUUGGUUAAUGGUUGAAAGAUAACCGCAAAGGAUUCAAUAAAACAUUGAUAGUAGCUGACAUGAUCGAUGAAACUACACAUGCCCGACACCAUAUCUGGCUUUGAUAAAUCCAAUAUACGAGUAACUUUAUCGGAGUCCAUAGCGAUACCUUCAACAGAGACAAUGUGUCCUAAUUGCUUCCACGAUGGUACGCCAAAUUGACACUUCUCCAAAUUUAGAGAUAUCAUACUUGUCUCAUUGAUUCAAACAGUUAUCCAAACAUGCUAGAUAUUCAACCGUUGUGUUAAAUGUGCAGAAAUCGUCCAAAAAUAUCUCCAUUGAUAAACAUAGGUAAUCUUGAAAUGCUUGUAUCAUUACCCGUUAAAAAGUAGCUGGUGUAUGACAUAACCCAAAUGGCAUUACUUUAUAGGCAAAUGUAUCCCAAUCUGUGAUAAACAUAGUCUUCAACUAGUCCUCUUUGGCAAUUUUAAUUUGAUUAUAUCCCAAAAAUCCGUCCAAAAAUGAAUAACAUUCAUGUCCGGCUACUACGUCCAAAAUAUUAUCUGUAAAUAGUAACAAAAAAUAGUCCUUCUUAGUAGCCGCAUUUAACUUUCAAAAAUCCUGACAUAUCCUGAUUUUUCCAUUCUUCUUCGGUAUCAUCACGAUUGGCGACACCCAUGUACUAUGCAGAACAGGAUAAAUAAAACCCAUGUCGAGAAGUUUAUCCAAUUCCUCUUUCACUAAAAGGAAAUAUUUUGGAUUAAGCCGGUAUUGUCUUUGACAAACUGGCAUAAUACCCUCCUCCAAAAUAAUUUGGUGCUCAUAUACGUCAGCUCGAAUCCCUUUCAAAUCCGCAUACGACUACGCAAAGGCAGAUUUGUGAUGGAAAAAAAAUUGUUUCCAAGCAUCCGAUUCUGUACUUAUAAUACUAGCAUAUAUUUUAAUUAGCUGUGGCAUUUCGUUGGUGCCCAGGUUAAUGGAUUGACACACAGGGUCUUCUACAAUCUUUGAUUUAAUUAUCUUCUUCUGAUCUGAAUAUCUGUUAGGGACAUAAUCCUUAGAACCUUCUAGAGACAAGUUCCUAGAACCUUCUAGAGACAAGUUUCUAGAACCUUCUAGAAGCUUCUUAGUUGGUAGAAGAUGUUAGGGACAUAGUCCUUAGAACCUUCUUGAGAUAAGUUUCUAGAAUCUUCUAAAAAUAAGUCUCUGGAACCUUCUAGAAGCUUCCUAAUUAAUAGAAGUUACUUGAGAGGCUUCCUAAAUAGGAGUAUAUAUUGGAAUCGAGGCUGAAGAGUUUUUCAGUCUCGACAACACAUCUCUUGGAGCUCUAGCUCAUCUCUCUGGUAUUGUUCUCAUCUGAUUAAUCUAGUUCUUAUUAGUUCUUCUUGAACUUCUUGUUAGAUCUCGAGUGUGUAUUUCUAUGUCCAUGACAGUUUGACGAGACUUCACUCACCUCAGAUAUCAGAGUUAGUUUUUUCCUUGUUAGAGUGCGGAUUACCCCUCUGCUUGGAAGUGUACUAGCAUUUUAGAGGUUGCGGAUUACCCUCCUCUAAACUGAUAUUUCUUUUGUUACAAUAUUGGAGUUUUAUUCUUCUUGAAGAGAGUGGAUUAUCCCUUUUCUUGAAGCUCUUAAGGCAUUUUAGAGGUUAUGGAGUACUCUCCUCUAAAUCAAUAUUGUCUUCUUGUAGAGUCAUUUCUGUCCUUCUCUUAGAAUGGCGGGAGGCCAAGACAUUAGUAUGACAAAAAGUUUGGAGUCCAAGUUGGAUGCUAUCAUGAAUGCCCUUGCUACGUUAUCGCAAAGAAUUGCAGAGAUUGAAGGAGUCAUGGCAAGGCUUCAUAAUGAUGGAGCAUCUGGGAUGGCACAAUCUAGGUUGCACUAGCCUCAAACUUCUACACUUGGAGAAGCAGCUUUACCUCAGGUUCGACAAGCACCGCUGGUUCUAUAACAUAAGGAGCCCCGAGUUAGCAUUCUUGAUAAGUUCGAUGGUACGCAUUCCAAGUUUCAAGGAUUCGUCAACCAAAUCAGGUUGAUAACAAUUUUACAGCCCGAACGCUAUCCAAUGGAGGAAUCACGUGUUGGGCUUGUUGGAACCUUACUUACAAGACAAGUUCUAUCAUGGUUAGCUCCUUUGUUUAAGAAACGAUCGUCCAUACUAAACAACUUUGAAACCUUUUUGGACGCAUUUGCGGAAGCAUUUGGUAAACACGACAAGGUACGAUGGACUACAACAAAGAUCCGGUCACUACGACAAGGGAUGCGCUCUACAUCAGUCUAUGCAUCGGACUUCAGGCAAUUAGCAUGCAACAUCAAUUGGGACAAAGAAGCGUUGAUGAGUCAAUUCUAUUGGGAUUAAAGGGACGAUACGAAAGAUUUACUGUUAAUUCUUCGUGAUCCGCAAAUGCUCAACGAAGUUAUUAGCCAAGCUGUGAAGUGUAAUAACCGCCUAUUCUAAUGCCGCCAAGACCAACGUUCAAGAUAACAUAUGAUUUGCCAUGCCCCAACUAUGUCGGCAAGCAGCGUGAAUUCAUAUUCAAAAGGUAAGAGACAUGCAAAUUGAUGUGGUACAUGUUAAAUCUCUUACUCUAGAAGAAAAAAAGCGGCAUAUGGAAGAAGGUCUAUGCUUGUAUUGCGGUGAAGAAGGCCACAAAGUUGGAAACUACCCCAAGAAGCAAAAUCAACGUAUUGUCAAGACUAAGGGCGCAUUUAUUCAGGAAAAUGAAGAUACCCAGCCACAAUAGGAACCGUGCGAUUGGAUAGUGAAAUAUCGCAACAACAACCAAGUUCCUUUCUUUCCGCUCAACCUGCCCUUUGUUUUACAAUCCCUUUGCUUAUUGGCCCUAAGAAACUGAGAACCUUAGCAUUAUUAGAUUCAGGAGCAUCUACUUAUUUCUUAGACAAAGAAUUUGUGAAGCAUCAUAAGAUCCCUUUAGUACAAAAAUCCAAACCUAUUCACGUUGAGGUCAUAGAUGGGCGACCUUUAUUGUCUGGUAGUGUCACCCCUGAAGUAUAACCUAUAGAAGUGACGUUUAACAGCCAUAGUAGUCAUAUUAUUUUCAAUAUUAUUAGAAUCCCAUCAAAUCCUGUUAUUCUUGGUCUUUCUUGGUUGAAAAAGCAUAAUCCAUCCAUAGAUUGGAAGUUGCGAAAGAUGACCUUUCCUACAAAACUACCCAAGAGCAAGCCUAGUAGAAAACCCCGAAUAGAGAAAUCCUUAUUUAUUAGAGUAAGAGCGUUUAUAAGAUCGUCCAAGAAAGGCACAUCGUUUGUCAUUUAUGCGGCUUCAACUACCGGGGAGAAGAUCUUGACAGCAAGUAUACCGGAGUAAUAUAAGGAUUUUAAAGACGUGUUUCAAAAAAAAAAUGUCGAUAUGCUACCGGAACAUAGUUCAUAUGAUUACACCAUAGACUUACAGGAAGGAGCACAACCGUCUUUUGGCCCAAUCUACAAUCUAUCGCAGACGGAGUUGGCAGAGUUGCAGAAGUACAUCGACGAGAAUCUAGCCAAGAACUUCAUCCGUCAUUCAAAAUCGUCAAUUGGAGCACCCAUCUUAUUUGUGAAGAAGAAAGAUGGCUCAUUGCAGAUGUGCGUGGACUAUCGAGGCCUUAACAAGGUAACAAAGAAGAAUCGUUACCCGUUACCCUUGAUUUCUGGUCUCUUAGAACAACUUGGACAUGCAAGGAUCUUUACAAAAAUUGAUCUAAGAGGAGCUUACAACCUUGUACAAAUCAAGAAAGGAGAUGAGUGGAAGACAGCGUUCCGUACAAGGUAUGGCCAAUUUGAGUAUAAUGUCAUGCCUUUUGGUCUUACUAAUACUCCAACGAUCUUUCAACAUAUGAUGAAUGACAUUUUUCGAGAGUACCUUGAUGAUUUUUUUGUCAUUUAUUUGAAUGAUAUUUUGAUAUUCUCCAAAAAUGAGGAAGAGCAUGAAAAGCACGUUCGUUUGGUUUUGGAGAAACUACGCGAGUGAGGACUAUAUGCCAACUUGGAGAAGUUUUUAUUUCACUAAAUAGAGAUGGAGUUUUUGGGGUCUGUUGUGACUAUGGAAGGCUUGAAGAUGGACCCCAAGAAGGUGAAAGCAAUCGUGUCCUGGGAGGUUCUGAAGACAGUGAGAGAUGUACAAUGCUUUCUUCACUUUGCCAAUUUCUAUCGGAUCUUUUUCAAGAAUUACUCUCAAGUUGCUGCUCUUCUCACUCGGUUGACAUGCAAGAAUAAGCUGGAAUAGGGACCUCUAGCGGAGAAGGCGUUUCAAGACCUAAAAAUCGUAUUUAUUAUGGCUCCAAUCUUGGUACAUCCAGAUUUUACAAAGGCCUUUUAUUUAGAAACUAAUGCUUCGGAUUUUGCUUUGGGUACUAUACUUUUACAAAUGGAAGAAGAUAAGAAGCUCCAUUCGCUUGCAUUCUAUUCUCGAAAGUUCUCUGCUCCUGAAAUCAAUUAUGAGAUCCACGAUAAGGAACUUCUUGCUAUAGUGGAUUCUUUCCAAGAAUGGCAUCAUUUUCUUGAAGGAGCUGCACACCCAAUGACCGUAUACACAGAUCACAAGAAUUUGGAGUAUUUCAUGUCGGCUCGAGUUGUAAAUUGAUGUCAAGCUCAGUGGAGUAUGUCGCUAUUUAGGUUCGAUUUUGUUAUCACUUAUCGACCUGGAAAGCAGCAAGGACUAUCUGAUGCCUUAUCGAGGAGAUUGUAUCUUGUACCAAAGGCUGGAGAAGUAGUAUUUAAUCAAUAAUGUACGACAUUGUUGAAGCGAGAGCAAUUUUGACUUUGUGCUACUAUUGUGCCAAUUGAUGCUGACUUCUUGAAUCAGGUAUGUGCCACGACCAUUAAAGAUUCAGUAGCCAUUGAUAUCAAGCAGCAUGCCAAUGACGAAAAAUUCAAGGUGGAGAGAGAUCUUUUAUACUUUGAGGAGCGAUUGUAUAUCCCAAAAGGACCAGCACGACUCCGAGUUCUUCAAUCUUGCCACGAUUUUCUAGCUACGGGACAUUUUGGAUUCAACAAGACCUUGGAGCUUAUUUCUCGAGAUUUUUGGUGGCCCCAAAUGUGAAAAGAUGUGAAAGAUUUUUUUCUCUCGUGCGACAUCUGUUCAAGAUCCAAGAAUCCUCGACAUCGUCCUUAUGGACUCCUACAGCCAUUGUCGAUUCCACAUCGACCAUGGUCUUCAGUUUCCAUGGACUUCAUCACGGACCUGCCAUCAUCGAAUUCAUUUCACAGCAUCUUUGUAGUAGUAGAUCGGCUUACAAAGAUGGUGCACUUUGUUCCUUGCAAGAAGACAUCAUCUAGUGAAGUCACAGCAAGGCUCUUUCUCGAUAAUGUGUAUCAAUAUCAUGGACUACCAGAUGAUAUCGUAUCAGAUCGAGGAACCCAGUUUGUAUCAAAGUUUUGGAGAUCUCUCUUUGAGAUAUUGAAGGUGGAUAUCAAACUUUCUUUCGCUUUUCAUCUUCAAAUUGACGGCCAAAUGGAACGGGUGAACCAAGUCUUGGAACAAUACUUACGAUGUAGCAUCAACUAUCAGUAAGACGAUUGAACCACAUAUUUGUCGCUAGCCGAAUUUGCAUAUAACAACACCCUCCGUGCGUCGACUCAAUACACACCAUUCUUUUCCAACUAUGGGUAUGAUCCAAAGCUUGAUUUAUUGAGUCCGUCAACAAAUAACAAUCCAACAGCUGAAAGAUUUAUGAAACAACUAUCAAAGCUUCAAAAUACGUUGAAGCUUCAAUUACAAUCCGCUCAAGAAUCCUACAAUGCCUCUGCAGAUAGAUUUCGGAAUCAAGCACCUACUUUCAAAAUUGGAGAUAAAGUAUGGCUUCUUCGAUGGAAUAUCAAGACCAAGCGACUAUGUGAUAAGUUGAACUAUCGAAGAUUGGGACCAUUUAUCAUCCAGAAGCAAAUCAAUCCAAUGGCAUAUCGUCUGGAAUUACCGGCUUCUAUAAAGGUACAUCCAGUCUUUCGUGUUUCUCUGUUAGAGCCUUAUCGAGAGUCGUCUUUUCCUAGAAGAAUACAAUGUCCACCACCUAGUAUUCAGAUCGAGAACCACGAGGAAUACGAGAUUGAAAAGGUACUGGAUUCAAGGCGAAGAUGGGAUAAGUUGGAGUAUCUUGUUCAUUGGUGCGGCUAUGAUAUUAAUGAGCGAACAUGAGAGCCAGCUGAAAAACUCGCCAAUGCGCCGCAAAAGGUACAUGAGUUUCAUCAACAACAUCCUCAUAAACCUAAGUCGGUUCGACAAUAGCUUCCUUCUGAAGCUUGCUCACCCAAGAAUAUAAGAAAGAGGGAGAGCACCAUCAAAAUUUGUAGUUGAUGUAGUUAUUUUCUCCAAGAUAAAAUAGAAUUUUUUCAGUAGCCAUAAUUUGGUCUUCUGAUAUGGAUAGCUAAGAGAUAGAUACUAUACCAGUCAGAUUAUCUCAACCAACUAGUUCACGAAGGCGACCUCGAGAUGAAGAACCACUUGCACCACGACAACGACGGAGGAUACCAAGUAACCGAUCACUGGUGAUUGUAUUUGAGUCCGAGCCUGCUCACGAUGGUCAGCCAGAAGGCAUGUUUGUAGGACAAUUUUACAAUGAGGAUACGGAAGUUCAUGCUUGGACAGAAGUUGAAGGAGUGGCCCACUACCAUUGGCUUCAAGGGUCGAUGAACCACUUACCUUGUGAACAACAGUUGGAGUUCAUAACAGACGUUAUGCGACAGAUCUUUAUUUUCUUGCGUUGGUACUGAUUAACAACAACAUUGCUUCUCAAAAACCUCGAAGCUAAAAGAGGGCGUGAUGUUAGGAACAUAAUCCUUAGAACCUUCUAGAGACAAGUUUCUAGAACCUUCUAGAAGCUUCUUAGUUGGUAGAAGAUGUUAGGGACAUAGUCCUUAGAACCUUCUAGAGAUAAGUUUCUAGAAUCUUCUAGAAGUAAGUCUUUGGAACCUUUUAGGAGCUUCUUAGUUGAUAGAAGUUGCUUGAGAAGCUUCUUAGUUGAUAGAAGUUGCUUGAGAAGCUUCUUAAAUAGAAAUAUAUAUUGGAAUUGAGGCUGAAGAGUUCUUCAGUCUCGACAAUACAUCUCUUGGAGCUCUAGCUCACCUCUUUGGUGUUGUUCUCAUCUGAUUAAUCUAGUUCUUGCCAGUUCUUCUUGAACUUCUUGUUAGAUCUCGAGUCUGUAUUUUUAUGUCCAUGACAAUAUCUUAUAUUAUCUGACAUAUGGAAACUACUCAAUUCUGGUUCCAAUAUACUGACUCUAUUGACUGCAAGAUUGUUCAUCCAUUCAGCAAUAGCAUGAUCGGAGUUUACUGUAUUAUUCAGAUGAAUAGAAUAUUCUUUGAGUCCUCAAUAUUGGUAGAAUACUUCUUCCUUACGUAUGCAAAUUGGGUCAUUGCGGACUUGCAUUACAUUAGUAAUUUCAUCAUUGUUUUCUUUAGAUUGACCUUCUUCAUUAGAUGUCACUUCCGAGCUUAGAAUUUUAGAUUCUCUAUGAUAUUGGACUGGGUAAAUUUGUAAAACAAUCAUUUUUCUUCCCUUUUCAAUAGUUAGCGUUCUACGGCCCCUAUCAUUUUUAGCUUUAGCUUGGUAUAACCAUGGCCGUCCCAAUAAAAUUGGAUAUGAUAAUGUAGAACUUUGUAACUUAAAAAUAAUAUAAUCAAUUUUAUACACAAUCCUUGCUAUAGCAGUAUGAAUACUACGAAGAAUAUCUAUAGGCUUGAGUCGACUGUGGUCAGCCAUUCUUAUUACCAACGACGUGGGUAACAACUGAGCUAAACCCAAAAAUUUUAUUGUUUCCGCCAUCAUUAAAUUUACACUUGAGCCUCCAUCCACUUACACUUUAGAAAUAAGGACUCUAUUGAUGGAUACAUCAAUAGUUGAUACUCCUGGAUCGGGGUUCAAAUUGACUUCCUGAACUUCCUUAGACCAAGCUCUUUAUCGUAUUAACCAAGAAUUUAACGUAGAACGACAUUCUAGCACAACCGCUAAUAGUUGCUUCAUUGAGAUUGACGGUUUGAUUUCAUCCAAAUCCUUCAAUAUAUCAUACGGUUCCAUAUUUGUAGUGAUUCGCAAAGCCCUUUUCUUUUUCAUGGGCUUCACUUUAACUCCUAUCAAUAGCUUAUCAUACUUCACAGAGUCUGACACCAGAAUAGUUGAACAAGCUAUUUCGUACUAUUUCACCCUGAGAGGGUCUUUCAGUGAGUAAGGCUGCUCCUUGUCCUUUGAGAGUAAUAGAAUCGAUUCAUAUUGGAUCAAUAAUCUCGUGUCAGAACCAUCAUUGGGUUGUUUUGACGAUCCAGGUCUCAAUGAUGAUAACGAUCCAGAUAUGGUUAUUAGAUUUGAGUCUAAUUGUCCCUUAGAAAUUGGUUCCUCCAAUUAAGGAAUUGGAUCUUUUCUUCUUUGUUGGGCCCUUGUAAGCAUAGUAUAUAUGCAUUCUACCCAAUUUAGUAGUGAAUCUUGUGGACCUCGAUUAUUCUCCUCUAGUUUAUUCUGCAAUUGAACUUGCUAGUUUCAAUUAUUAAAAUUAAAUGGGACAUUGUACUAUUGAUAAGUAUGUCUUGAUUGCUUAUAAUUUCGACACACAGGAGCAUAGUCAUCACUUACUCUUGGAUUGAGACAUUCACUAGCAUAAUAUUCGAUCUGUCUACAAUGAUAACAUCGAAGUCGUCUCCUUUCAACACUGCCAAGAAUAUUGGGGGUAUCUAUUGGGACGUAUCCGCUUGGCCUAUUUCAAGUUAGAUAGAUAAAUGAUUUCGGUUGUCAAGUUGGUACUGUAGAAUCUGAAUUUGAUUGCUGAAAGGAUUGAUAUUGGGAAUACCCUUAUUGAUUUUGUACCAUUCCUUGAGCAUUGGUUCUGUAUUCCUGAUUGUAUACUGAAUUUUGAAAUUUGAAAAAAUUUCUAUUCGGCUUAUUGGAACGAUUCUCAUUCCAGCCAAAUCUAUUUCUUGUCUGAAUUUGGUUAACGUCCCACAAAGUCGGUUGGAUCAUUAUUUGAUUACUGAGUUGUUGUUGCUUCCAUAAAUUCUAACAGUUGGUGGUAAUAUGCUUGCCCCCGCAAAAAGUACAUUGUACAAUCAUUUGGAGUAGUGAAAGACAUUCUGUUACUAAAUGACCUUGCCUCUUACAAUUGCUAUACCAGACAUUGGAACGCAUAUUGGUUGAUUUCUACCUCUUUUUCUUAUUUUUUGUUAAGUUGACAACUAAUUCCUCCAUUUUCUUUGUCAAAGUUAUCAACAAAGCUUCAUUUGGAUCUUUUGGUCUAGUUUCACUUGAUAACUCUUUCGUAGGUACUACUUUUUGAUAUGGGAAGUAUGAAAAAUACAGGACUAUAGUUGUUGGUAGUAUGUUCUACAAUAGAACAACAUUCACUGUUUCUUGAGGAUUAACACUAAGGUUUGUACCGUAAUCCAACAUUCUUGGGUAAUCGCUUCCAGUUUCACUCCAGGUUGGUAUUGGGUAACCUACUUGAGAUGGAAUCAUUGUAGCUCUAGUGGUUAAGAAUUGGUCAUAGUGACAUUCUUCCCACACCUUUGCUCAUGUUAGUGAGGAAGCAAGAAAGGUCGAUUGGGCCUCCUUCAUGAAUAACUUUAAUUCUGCUAAGUAAAUUUUGUUAACUAAUAUGGACAAAAUAAACGAAUCAGGGAUUUGAUUAUUUGGCCAUUUACUAAGAAUAUCUGCUACUCGGCCAUAAUAUGAUUGUACCGCUUCUCUUGGUACCAUUUUGCUAUUCAUCAAUCUUUUCCUACGUCGCUCUUUAAAUCCAAUUGAUCAAAAAUGGAUUAAAAAUAUAUUUUUUAAUGCCUCCCAAUUAGAAAAUUGAUCGACGGGCUAGCGAAUAUACCAUUCAAAUGCUGUGUCCUUUAAUAUUGUUGGCAGCCAUCUUAUCAAAAUAUCUUCAAUUUUGCCAUUAUUGGCUACACAUGCAGUCAAAAAUUGUGAUAAAUGUUGAUCUGAAUCAGCUCCUAAUAAACCUCUAAAAGUAGGUAAUGGAGCCAUGCUAGUUGUGCGAUCUCUUGCCGCACCUAUUUGGACUGCAAUUGGAACUGCUGGUCCUCCGGAUGCCAUUAAAGAUGUCGGUGUUCUGGUCAAUUCCUUAUUAAAAUAAAAACUAUCUCUUACAAAAGUCUUUUUCGAACUUCUAGGCCUUCCCAAUUGAUUAUUAUUAGUCCCAAAUAAUUUUACUAAUUGAAUAUGAGGUAAAAAUGAUCGAUUUUGAUAUAUUCAAAUUGGUCUUUAUUGGCAAGUGAUUUAUGCCGAUCUUCUGAAUCAGUCUUGUUAGAAUUGGACAUAUUUUCAAUUGAAAAAAAUAUCCAAUGGGGUACCUAAUUCCUCUGUGCCUUCCCCGCUUUUCGUUAACAAUUUUGAGAGAUAUGCUGGACUAUUAGCAGUGCUCCUCACGAGUGCUCUUAGUAAUUUCUUUAAAGGUAUGUACUUCUGAAAUAUUAGAGGUCGAUCGUCUUCUGGAUACGAUCGAAUAUGUCGACAGGCAUGCAACCACGACCUAAUUCAACUUUAUCGAUGCUUCUUUUUUAAUUUACAAUCUCACUCGUUACGCAACAAAUUUCUUGCUAGCGAUCUCUUUGUUCUUUCUUUUGAUUGCUUUAUUUUCUUUGUUGUUAAAUUCUCAUUCUUAAUAACCAUACUCUUUUAUUAUUUCUACUAAGUUUGCUUCCUAAUCUCCUUUAUUGCUUCGGCAGUUAAUUCCUAAUACUCAAUAAUGUUGUCAAUUCCUUGUAGCGUUGCCAAAAUGUGAUUGUCGUUUUACUUAUUCAAGAAGAAACUUCCUAGAAUAAAUCCGUAUAGGGAAAUUUGAACACAAAGAAAGAUCAUGUAUAUGAGCUCUAAUUGUUAGGAUCACUUAAUUAAUCGCUACUGCUGAAUGCUUACAAUACCGAAGAACACUUAACUUUUCUUCCUAUUGUCUACUCUCAUAUCAAUACGAUAACAACUACGAUAUCAAUUUCAGUACCCUGUAAUAUUCACGAAUAAACAAACAUAAUCCAAACCUUGGAACGAACAACUUUCAAUCCACAGAAUCUGAUCAAGACAAUUCCUUCGAUUACAAUUCCUUUCCACUGAACUCACAACCUUGUGAUAAACAGUGAUCCAUAAAUAAUUUUGUAAAUCAAACAUUGAUUCAUUAAAUCGAUUCUCUUCACUAGAAUCAAUACUAACACAAAAGAAACAAAAAAACUAAAAAGAAGAGAUAGCACCAAGCUUAUCUCGGCUCAGUACUAUUGCAGUUUCCCCCCCGGCUCAUGACUAUCAUAGUCUGGCAUUUUCUUCCUGUCUCCUAUCUUUCUUAUACUACCCCGAGUAUCAACUCCUAUAUUACAGAUGAUAACUACUUUUCGUGACUAUUCAUCCAUUCUACCUACUGAACCACCUUUCCAGCACUUAUCUAUCCCUAUUUAUACUAUACACUAGAUAUCUAUAUUCUGAAAAUAACUACUUAUUCUAUAGUAUUGAUUCAAAAAGAGCUUUGCCUUGGUAUCAAAUUUCUUCAAUUGUAAAAACUAACUUCUUAAUUAGAUGGAUCCAAAUAUGUGACAAAAGCUUGUGGCAAUAUGCAACAUCAAAAAUCAUUACAAAAAUAUGAAAAGUUCUAAGCCACCAAAGUGCCAAUUCAUGGAUUUGAGUUGGUGUAGCAAGAGGAAAGUUGGCGUUGGAAAAUAACACCUGAUUUCCUUCUUGGAAGGUCUUGUGUUGCUUGAGGUUAUCUACAUACUACUUCUGUUAAUUCUGUGUAAUAAAAAGGCAAUGUCAUGCCUCUUUUGAGCUUAUUGUAAGCUAUUGUAUAAACUUUUUUGUUAUUAAAUCAUUGGUGUUAAUGAGAUGAUAAAAAAUUAUUGGCAUAAUCGGAUGUUAAUUAAUAUUAAAAAAAUUGAUGAAUGAUCAAUACUUAUUUAAAUACUAUCAUUGUAAGCAAAUUCCAAGGACAUUAAGUAAUCACCCCAGUUAUUAUAAUGAACUAUCACAAUUACCCACAACAUAUCUUUCAAGAUUCAAUUUUUGUGUUCUAUUUUUCCAUUCAUUUAAAAAUGGAAGGCUGUAGAUAUGGCAAGUCAUGUGCCUUGUAGUUUGAGUAAGGCUUAUGAAAAACUUUUCGUGAAGCAUGGAUUUUGAUUUGAAAUGAUGAUACAAAAUAAUCAAUUGUAACAAAAGAUAGUAUCAAAGAAGACUCGUACAAGUGUUGGACAUCAAUAUCUUAGUGCAUUGCGACCAAAUAAAGUUGUUUUAAGAGUCAAUCCACAAAGAUUACAGCCGCAAUAUGAUUAUGAAGGGUCUACAGCAAACACAUAAUGAAAUUCAUAGUCACCUGCUCUCAACAUGAUGUAGGUACUAAAAUUGGUUGCAAUAACCUAAGAGAUGUUGUAUUACAUGUUUUAUUACAUUGAUAUUACUCGUAGGAGCACACAAAAGAUUAAACAUCAUGAUCCAAAUCUACCCAAAAUCAUAUCCUUGAGAUUUGUUUUAAAGUCUUUUCUUGUCGUAGAUAUCUAGAUAUUGGAAUUUCAUGUCUUUCUUGAAGUAUGCACAUCCGGAGUAUAAUAUUGUCAACUACAUAAAUCCACUUCUUGAAAUAGAACAAGCCAUUACUAAGUUUGUAAUCUUAAUACUGUGUAUUGUCUACCUCCAACUAAUCACUAAUCAUCUUAAAAUAAGCAUCUUGAUGCGUAGCUUCCUUCUAUUCUCUUUCUUAGGUUAGGUUUAAAAUGAUACUUCUAUUAAUAAUAACUUCUAUCUUAUCUUCUAAUUUAGCCUUCAAAUCUAGCCUCCACAAUAAGUUAUUUGGCACAAUAUGUUGUUGUCCUUGCUUGUACUCAAGGUAGAUAUCAAAAAGCUACAAUUAUUCUUUAUUAUGAUGAUGCUGUAAUUUCAUAUUUUUCAGAUGUAAAUUGUAUAGCAAGCGUCGAUAGUUAAUACAAAAAACCAUUGAUUUUUCUAAUAUAUAGUAUCGCCAUAUUUUUGUGGCAUGUACAUUUACUAGUUGCUCUUGAUUAUAUGCAGAGUAUUUGCUCUCUGUCCUUUUAAGCAUGCAUGAUUCAUAUGCCAUAGGUUGAAGGCUUCUACCAAAGUUUUAUUGAACGACUGCUCUAAUAACAAAGUUAAAAGCAUCAAUGUCAAGUGUACAAGAAAGGUUAAGAUCAUACUGCUAUAAUAUUGGAGCAAUAAUGAGUGCCUCUUUUAACCUAUCAAAGGCACUUUACUGUUCUAAUUUCUAUUCAAAUGGAGCACCUUUCUUUAAUAGAUUUCUCAAUGAGACAACAAUUUAUACAAAUUACCAAACAAAACAACAAUAAUAUCUAACAAGUCCUAAAAAUGAAUAAAUUUUAGAAGCAUCUUUGGGAGUUGGCCAAUCCUUGAUUGCUUUCACCUUAUCUUAUUCAAUGUGCAUGCCUUUGAAAGGCAUUACAUGCUCCAAAAAGGUGAUUUUGACUUCUAAAGUUCACAUUUGAUUGCUUAUAAUAAAAACGACUAUCUUAUAUUUGGUACAUCACUUCUCAUAGAUGUUACUCAUGCUCCUCAAGGAUUUUACUAUAUACAAGGAUAUCAUUAAUGAAGGCAACUACAUACGUGUCUAAAAGAUCUUGAAACAAUGUGUUCAUAUAACCUAUAAAAGAGGCUAGAAUAUAAGCAAAGCUGAAAGACAAAAUAAGCCAUUUAAAAUAUCCAUAGCAUGUAUCAAAUGUCAUCUUUUUAAUAUCUUUUCUUACAAUAGGUAUUUAUAAAUAUCCACUUCAAAGAUCUAAUUUACUAAAGAUGGUCAUACUUGAAAAUUGAUGAAGAAGAUCAUCCAUACAUAGAAGUGGAUAUGCAUUUUUAACAAUUUGCUUAUUGCAGCCUUGAUAAUCAAUACAAAGCCAAAGUCCACCAUCCUUCUUGGAUGCACAGAGUAUAGGUACUCUCUAUGGCAAUGUGCUUUUUUGAAUGAAGCCCUUCUCCAUGAGUUUUUCCAAUAUUUUUUGUAGCUCUUUAAAUUCAUUUAGUGUUAGGUAAUAAAUUAGUCGACUAAUUGAUUUGGCUUUAAAUAAUAGUUCUAUUUGAAAGGAGGCACCUUGAUCUAAAGGCACGCCAUUAGGGAGCUUGGUUGAAAAGACAUUCUAAUAUUCUUGUAUAAGUUAUUCUACUAAUUUUAUUCCUUCAAUUGUUUUUCCUACCACUGAUGCAAGAUUUAGAACCACCAUAUAUAUUGAUUGCUUAUGUUAUAUUUGCUUCUUGAUAAAGGUCAUUCUUAUGAGUAAGUCUUUAAUUGCAAAUUAUUUUUUUCUUUACUUGAUGUAAACGUAUAAAGAGUCAGCUUACAUCUACCAUCUUUGAAAGAGAUUCUUUUUGCCAUCCAAUCAACUUGUUUAUUUUCCACGUCAAGCUAUGGCAUACCAAGGAUAAUAUCAUAUCUUAGCUUUGUUAUCUUAAAUUUUUCUCUUAGGAUGUAUAUAUCAGUCAAUCUUAAUAUUUUUUCUUUAUAGAUCCCAAUUAAUAUGUUCACUCGAUCAUUUGCAAGGUAUAUACUUCAUCUCUUGAUUAUCUUAGUUUUAAUUCCAAGUUAAUCAAAAAUUUCAGUUGAAAUGUGAUUUUUUUUAGGGCCACAAUCUACAAGUACUCGACAUACUUAUCUUCUUAGUAUUCCCAUUAGAUACAUCAGUUGAUUCUUUUUAUAGUUAUCCGAGGCCAUGCCAUUUGUCUCUAAUAGACAAUAGCUAUCUUCAAUAUUAGCCCUCAAUGUUUUUACUUAAGAGCCUUGUUUCUCUCUUCUAUCUUAUUAUCGACUCCGUGAAUUUCAAGACUAUAAAUCUAAAUAGACCUUCUCUACAAUCCUAAUUACAUCUUCAAAUGUUUGUGGAUCCUUUUGUUCUACCUCUCACUAGAUCCCCGGUUUCAAACCUUAUAGAAAUAAAUCUAUCAUCUCUACCUCUGAAACAUUAUCAAUUUAGAGACAUUGGGACUUGAAUCAUGAGACAUAAUCUUGCAUCAAUUUAGAUUGUAUAAGGUUUGUCAAUUCAUUGUUUGUUAUCUUCUCUACAGUGAUGGAUCAAAAUUGAUUCCUAAACUCAAUCUCAAACUCCUCUCAAUUACAAAAUCCACCUUGAAUUUCAUAGCUUUGAAUUCAAUGUCACUACCAAAUAGCUAUUGCAUCUUUCAAAUACUUCGCUACAUAUAUAAUUCCUUUGGUGGUAUUUAUCUUAGAUAAUUGUAAGUAUUGUUGCAUGAUGAAGAGUAAUUGAUAUACAUCUUCUUAUUUUAAAGUUCUAAAGUAUGUACUAGGCUUAUUCAAUUUUGGCCUAGUAAAUGUUGACUUCCUUGUCCUAGAAGCUUUUAUUUGUCCUUGUAAAAUAGCUAUCUAGCUUAAGAGGUGAUGUAUUUGAGCCUCCAUCUAGGAUUGCUCCACCAUAUCUACCAUAUUAUAAUUUCUUCAUUGGACUCAACUAUUAUAAUCCCUCCUCAACUUUUAGUUGAAUUUUUAAGAAUAAUUCAUCAUAGCCUCAACUUAGUAUCAAAUAUAACUAUAACAAUUGAUCUUAAACUAGAUGAUGGCUAUCAAUAUACUACCAAAGAAUAGUCUAAUACUUGCUCUCAUACCAAUAAAAUAAGACCGGUCUAUCUCAAGUAUCUAAGACUCUUCUAAUCCAUAGCAAUUUAAAACCUCAUCACAAAAUAGGACAAAAUCGACCAAAAAAAAUUAAACAAAAUUAGAUAGAAUAAGACAUAAAAGAUAAAAAUAUAUAAAUAAAAAUAGAUCAAAACAAAACUGAACAAGAAGAUACAAAACUAAACUUUACUAAAGACAAAGGUCCAAAGCCAUACCUAAUCAGAUGCCUCAAAAGGUCCUAGCCAUUCAUAUUUAUAUUUUAUUCUAUCACCUUAGAUUUUCUAAAAUGUUCGUAGAUGAUGGAUCUUACUUAAAUAAUUAUUCUAAAUUAUUUUUAGAACGUUCCAUGAUACAUCAUAUCUAGAUAAUUAUCUUAAGCUUUUUUUAGAAGGUUCUAUAGUAGGCUCCAUCUAGAUAACUUCUUUAAGUUCUUUUUAGAAUGUUUCACAAUGGAUCCUAUAUAGUACACUAAGUUAGCUUUAAUUCUAAAAACUCCCAUAAUUUCUUAAAUAUACUUCCAACUAUCUUUUCUUAUAUGUCAAUAAUAUAAAUAUCUUAUUUAUAGCCUAUUAUAGUAAUAUUUAAUAUAAUGAGAUCUACAUUCAAUUUGAUUAUUUUAAGAUUAUCUUGGUUAAAAAAAUAUAAUCCUCAAAUAGAUUAGAUUUCUUGUAAGCUUAUUUUUUUUAUAGUUUAAUCCAAAAUUCCAUUAGUCAAAUAGAAAUACAUAAGUCUAGUACAUCCCAACCUAUAUUGAUAUGUGCAAGAGCUUUUAUGUAUAUUACAAAAGAAGGGUCAUCUUUUGUUUUAUAUGUCAUGCCUAUUUUUGAUGGUAAGAAGAUGUCAAGUAAUAUACCUAUCUAGUAUUAAGAUUUUUAGGACGUUUUUAAAAAGAAAAAUGUAGAUAUUCUUCCAAAGCAUCAUCGUUAUGAUUAUUCUAUUGAUCUUUAUGAAAGAACUCAACUACCAUUUCGACCAAUCUCUAGUCUAUCACAAGGAAUGAAUUGAUAAGAACUUGACUAAAAAUUUCAUAUAUUAUUCUAAAUCUCCAACUGGAUUUCUUAUCUUAUUUGUGAAGAAAAAAGGUAGAUCUCUAUGGAUGUGUGUGGACUAUCAAGGACUCAACAAAAUCACCAUCAAAAAUAGGUAUUCUCUAUCUUUAAAUUUAAGACUUCUUGAUCAAUUGAAUCAAGCAAAGAUCUAUAUAAAAAUAGAUCUACAAAGAGCAUAUAAUUUAAUAUGUAUUAAAAAAAGAGAUGAAUAGAAAAUUAUGUUUCAAACUAAAUAUGAAUAUUUUGAAUAUAGUAUCAUGCCUUUUGGACUUAAAAAUGCACCAAUUACUUUUUAAUAUUUAAUAAAUAAUAUUUUUUGUGAAUUUUUUGAUAAUUUUAUCAUUUGUUAUUUAGACAACAUCUUAAUCUACUCUAAGAAUAUAAAAGAGUAUGAAGUUUGUAUUUGUUAUGUGUUACAAAAACUUAAAGAUACAAGAUUAUAUGCCAAGUUAAAAAAAUAUAUAUUCUACAUUACUCAAGUUGACUUUCUAGGAUAUAUUAUUUCUAAAAAAAGGCUAAUAAUGGAUCCAAAGAAGGUCCAAAUUAUCACAGAUUAAAAGAUUCUAAGAAUAGUAAGAGAUAUGUAAUAUUUUUUAAACUUUGCCAAUUACUAUCAAAUCUUCAUUAAGAAUUUUUUUCAAGUUAUAAUUCCACUUAUAUGUUUGACUUGUAAAGACAAUCUUGAGUAGAGUAAAGAAAUUGAAACAUUUUUUGAUGCUUUAAAAAAAGAGUUUACUUGUACACCAAUCUUAUAUCGUGUUGACUUUUUUAAGACAUUUUUUAUGGAAACAAAUGCAUCAAAAUUUGCCUUUCAUGGAAUAUUAUCACAAAUGGAACGAAAUAAAAAAACUCCAUUUAGUAGCUUUUAUUCCAGAAAAUUUUUAGCACUUAAGAAUAAUUAUGAAAUCUAUGACAAAGAAUUCCUUGCAAUCAUGGAUUCAUUUCAAGAAUGGCAUCAUUAUUUAAAAGGUGCCUUCACUCUAGUCAUAAUAUAUAUAUAGAUCACAAGAACCUUGGAUAUUCCAUGUUGAUAUGUAUUUUGAAUCAUUGUCAAGCUUAUUAGAGUAUGUCUUUAUCAAGAUUUGAUUUCAAAAUCACUUAACAACUCAGAAAACAACAAGGUUUGUUGAACGCCCUUUUUAGAUGUUCUUAUCUUGCACCUAAAAGAAAAAAUGUAUCUUUUGAUCAACAAAAAAAAAUUCUCUUGAAGUUCAAGCAUUUUCAUCUUUGAGCAAUAAAAUUAAUAUUGAGUAUUGAUUCAAUUUUUGUUAAGUAAAUUCAAUCAAGUAUAUCUUCUAAUUUUUUUGUCUAUGAUAUCAAGAAUAAUUCUUUUAAGUCUCAUGAUACUUUCAAGUUUAAGUUUAAAAAAAAACCUAUUUUAUUUUGAUAGAUGAUUAUAUAUUCCAAAAAUGGAACACAAUUAUAUCUUCUUCAAAUUUUUCAUGACUUUUUAGCAACCGGACAUUUUAGAUACAAUAAGACUUUGGAACUCAUAUCAAGAGAUUUUUGGUGGCUUCAAAUUUGAAAGGUAGUCAAAGACUUUGUACAAUCAUGUGAUAUUUGUUCAAAAUCCAAAACUCCUCGCUAUUAACCUUUUAAACUUUUUCAACCAUUAUCUAUUUUUGAACAACCACAAGCUUCCAUUUUUAUGGAUUUUAUCAUGAAUCUUCCAGUCUUAGGUUUGUAUGAUUCUAUAUUCAUAGUAGUAGAUUAUUUUAUCAAGAUAGCACAUUUUGUACUAUAUAUAAAAUCUAUUAUAGGUAAGGAAAUGACUAAGCUUUUUCGUAAAAACAUCUAUCACUAUCAUGAAUUGCUUAAAGAUAUUAUGUUGGAUAUGAUGACUUAAUUUAUAUCAAGAUUUUAAAAAAUAUUUUUUAAGAUUUUAAAGGUGAAUAUAAAGCUUUCUUUGGCUUUUCAUCUUCAAAUUGAUGGAUAAACAAAACGGGUGAAUCAAGUUUUAUAGCAGUACUUGAAGUGUAGUAUCAACUAUCAUCAAGAUGAUUGGAAAAUUUUUUUACCAUUAGCAAAGUUUGCAUAUAAUAAUUUAGUACAUUUUUCUAUUCAACAAACAUCUUUUUUGGCCAAUUAUAAUUAUUAUCCAUGACUUGAUACUUUUGACUUUUUAAAAAUUAAUAAUCUUGCGAUAGAAGAUUUGGCAAAUUACUUGUGAAAACUACAUGCAAUAAUAAAGGUACAAUUAAAGAGAGCUGAAGAAUAAUAAAAGAUUAAUAUAGAUGCCUACUAUAAGAAACAACAAUAAUUCAAUAUAGGUGACAAAGUAUGAUUACUUUGUCAUAAUAUCAAGACUAUCUAUUCUUAUAAUAAGUUGAAUUACUAUAAGCUCAGACCUUUUCUUAUUAGUAAACAAGUCAAUCUUGUUGCUUAUCAAUUAUAUCUACUAGAGUCUAUAAAGAUCUACCUUGUAUUUCAAGUAUCUUUUCUUAAGCCAUAUAAGACAUUGAAUAUCUUAGGAGAAGAUAAAUACCAUCUCUGCCUAUAGAAGUAGAUAAUAAUCAAGAGCUCAUGGUGAAAGAAGUCUUAGAUUUAAAGGGCCCCAAAAUAGGUUGAAAUAUCUUAUUCAUUGGCUUAGAUAUGAUAUUAAUAAAUGUACAUAAAAGCUAACAAAAAAUCUUGUAAAUACAGCAAAGAAGAUUGAAGCUUUUUAUCAACAACAUCCAUCAAAACUAAGAUGAAGAAUAACAAAUAUUUGCUAUAAAAGAAACAAGAUCAAAGGAAGUUAAAAACCUAUCUUCUAUCCUUUUUUAUAGAUUUUAUGAAUUUUUGAUACUAAAAAGAUGGAGAAUCAAUAAUCAGCAAAUUUAACUUAAGAACUUUUAUUUACUAACUUACCAGACAAAACAUUGCAAUUGUCACAACCUUUAAGAUGAUAUAAUCGAUAUGAAGUGUCAUGGAAAUACAACUAAAGAAAAGUCAAGAAGGUUCUAAAAAGAUUCUUAUAGAUCCUAAAAGGUUCCAAAAGGUUCUAAUAGGCUCUAAGAAGGUUCCAAAAGGUUCUAGUAGAUUCUAAAAAAGUUCCAAAAGUUCGUAGAAGAUCCUAGAAGGUUCUAAGAGGCUUUUGAUGAUUUAGGAAGUUUUCAAAGAAAGAUCUUAUGCUUGCUUUGUUUCCAAGCCUAAUGAAAACUUCUUAAGAAGCUUCUUAGAAUAUAGUAUAUAUAGGAGUCGAGGCUGAAGAGAUCCUCACUCUUGACAAGUUAAUUCUUGUGGUCUAGUCAAGACCUUCUUGCCUUUUAUCCAAUUAUUAUUCUAAUCUUGAGCUAAGUCUAUUUUUUAGUCUUAAAUCCUUGUCUUGUAUAUGGUCUCUAACAAUUUGUCGAGACUACCGUAAAAUAAUAUUAGAAGUUUUAUCUUUCUUGAUAGAGAAUAGAUUACCCUUCUUUUUGGAAGUAAUAUAGCAUAUUAGAGGUUGCAGAUUACUCUCUCUUAGACUAAUAUUAUUCUUUUCUUAAUAUUUUUUUGGUUUUUUUUUUCUUUAUACCAUAGAUUAAGUUUUUUUCCUUUUAGUGCAUGAAUUUUUCUAAUUUUUUAUAGCAGAAGGUAGAAAAAUCAAUAUGACAUACUCUAAAGAGAUCAAAUUAGAUUCUAUUAUUAAUAUUCUUGAAGCAUUGAGGAUCAAGAUAGAGACUUUGUCAAAGCAAAAAAAAGAACUAUAUGUGACCAUACAUAAUGGUCAAGGAACCAAAGUGCCUCAACUAUCACAUCAAAUAGCAAUAUAGGUUUCAAAUUCUCAAAUGAUUAUGCCUACUUUAACAAAUAUGGAAGAUGCAUCCACUCAAGGCAAUGAUUUGACAACAAUAACAUCAAAAGAACCAAGGAUCAACCUUUCAAAAAAGAUUGAUGGCACCCACUCAAAAUUUUGUAGCUUUGUAAAUCAAGUAUGACUAAUCAACUUGCUUCAACCUCAAUGAUAUUCCACUGAAGUAUCUCAUGUUGGUUUGUUGGAACCUUGCUCUCAAGUCAAGCUUUAUCUUGGUUCAUUCCAUUAUUUAAAAAGAAUUCUCCUAUAUUGUAUAAUUUUGAAGGAUUUUUGGCAACAUGAACAUAUUGAUGAACAUGAUCAGAUUUGAUGAACAUGAUAAGGUUUGGUGAACAUGAUAAGGUUUUUUUUUCAACAAUUAUAAUUUGAAGCCUUCCUCAAAGAAUGGAUUUUGCAUUAAUAUAUGCCUCAGAUUUUUGACAAUUAGCAUAUGAUAUAAAUUGGAGAGAAGAUAUGUUGAUGAACCAAUUUCAUUGGGAAUUAAGACAAAAUGUCAAGGACUUAUUGUUUUUUAUAUUAGUUCCUCAAACACUCAAUGAAGCCAUUAGUUAAGCUAUGAUGUGCAGUGACCAUUUAUUUCAACAACAUUAAGAUAAACGUUCUUCAAUUUUGCCACAUAUAUACAUCAAUUAUUCUACAACUUCUUCAUCGUCCAAUUCUAAUGAGCAUUUGGAAGCAAAAGAUAUGCAGAUUGAUGUAAUUUACUUCAAACCUCUUUCUGAGCAAGAAAAAAAAAAAAAAAAAAAAAAAACAUCAAAGGGAACUUGGCCUAUAUUUAUAUUGUGAAAAACUUGGCCACAAGAUUAAUAAUUUUUUAGAGAAAUGCUAGUGUACAUAUUGAAUGAGGAGUGCAGCCACAUCAUUAAAAUCUUUGUAUGAAAAUGAGGGCGUUGAGCCACAAUAGGGAUUGUAUAGUUAAAUUUUUUAUUAUCACAAAUCAAAAAAGGUCUUAUAUUCUCUGCCAAUCCUUUCUAUUGUUUUACUAUACCCCUACAAGUAGGAAUCAUAAAACUAGAGUAUCAUACAUUAUUUAACUAAGGAGCCUUUGUAUGUUUUAUUGACAAAGAAUUUUCUAGGUCACACAAAAUGUGUACAGUCAAAAAAUCCAAAGUUGUCUAUAUAGAAAUAAUAGAUGGUCGACCUUUAUCCUCUAGAGACAUCACUCUUGAAACAAUUUCAUUAGAAAUAACCUUUGAAAACCAUAGCAGCUAAGUAGUAUUCAAAGUCAUUAGAUCACAAUUAAAUUUAAUUAUUUUAGGACUCUCAUGGCUUGAAAAAUAUAAUUCAUGGAUAGAUUGGAUAUCCCAAAAGUUAGAAUUUCCUGUAGUAGAUUAUAAAACAUCCAAAUCUAUGAAAAAGCUUCUAACACUCGAGAAGCCAAAACUUAAAUAAUAUUUAUUUAUUAGAGCUAGAGCAUUUGUGAAGGCGACUAAAUAAGGCAUUAUGUUUGCUGUCUACAUAAAUCCACGAUCGAAACCUGUAGUUACUACAACAAAAAAUUUAGAGGUGUAUAAGGAUUUUAUAGAUGUAUUUGAAAAAAAAAAUACAAACAUCCUACCAAAGCAUUGCCCUUUUGAUUGUGUGAUUGAGGUUUAAGAAGGUACUCAACUAUUAUUUGGACCAAUCUAUAAUUUAUCUCGAAAUGAGCUUGCAACUUUAAAAGAGUAUAUUGAAGAAAAUCUAACUAAAAAUUUUAUUUGACAUUCCAAGUCGUCAAUUGAUGCUUUAAUAUUAUUUGUGAAGAAAAAAGAUAGAACUUUAUGGAUGUGUGUCAAUUAUCAUAGUCUUAAUAAAAUCAUGGUAAAGAAUUGAUAUCCAUUGCCUUUCAUAUUCAAACUUCUUGAUCAACUUAGUUAAGCAAAGAUCUUUACAAAGAUUGAUCUACAAGGCGCGUAUAAUUUGGUAUGCAUUAAAAAAGGAGAUGAAUACAAGACAACAAUUUGUACCAAUUAUGGACAUUUUGAAUGCAAUGUCAUGCCUUUUGGACUUACUAAUGCACAAGCCAUAUUCCAACAUUUAAUGAAUGACAUAUUUUGUGAGCAUCUUCAAGACUUUGUUAUGAUCUAUUUGGAUGAUAUUCUAAUCUUUUCCAAGAAUCAAAAAGACCACAAAAAACAUAUCUGCCUUAUGUUGAAAAAGCUACGAAAAGCUAAGCUAUAUGUAAAACUAGAGAAGUGUAUAUUUCAUGUAUCUCAAGUCUAAUUUGUUGGAUAUAUUAUUUCUAAUAAAGGCCUUUUUAUAGAUCUAAAGAAAGUACAAGCAAUCAUCAAUUAGGCAAAGCCAAAACCUGUACAUGAUGUCCAAUGCUUUCUUAGAUUUGCAAACUUCUACGGAUUUUUUAUUAAAAAUUAUUCUUAGAUUUCUACUCUACUUAUGCGGUUGAUAUGCAAGGAUAAGUUAGACUUGGGUUCCGAAGUAAAAAAAGCUUUUCAAAGCUUAAAAGAUGCUUUUGCAACAACUCCAAUUUUGAUACAUCUAAAUUUCAACAAGCUCUAUUUUAUGGAGAUUGAUGCUUCAAACUUUGCAUUAGAAGCAAUCUUACUGCAAUAUAGAGAAGAUGGCAAAUUUCAUCUAAUAGCAUUCCAUUCUAAAAAAUUCUUAGCGGUGGAAAUCAAGUACAUAAUCCACUAUAAAGAAUUGCUUGCCAUCGUGGAUUCUUUCCAAAAAUGGCACCACUUUUUUGAAGGCACCUCUUAUCAGGUGACUAUAUAUACAAAUCACAAGAAUCUUGAAAACUUCAUGUUGACUGGAGUCUUGAACUAUUACCAAGUGCGUUGAAGUAUAACUUUAUUACGAAUUAAUUUUUGUAUCAUGUAUUGAUCCAGGAGCCAAUAAGGGUUAUUAAAUGCAUUAUCAAGACAUUCCUACUUUGAACCAAAAGUAGGCAAGGGAACAUAUGAUCAACAAUAGGUAAUCUUGUUAAAGCCUAACGUAUUAUUAUCUUUAAGCAACUAAUGUAUCAAUGUAUGUGGAUUUAUCAUUUCUUAAUCAGGUUUGUAAAGCCUCAAAUAUGGACUCUCUUGUUCUUAAUAUCAAGCGUUAUGCCAACUAAUUUUUUAAAUAGUCUUCUAAAUUCAAGUAUGAAGCCAACCUCUUAUUCUUUAAAGAAUGUUUGUUCAUUCCUGAGAGACCAAUUUGCCUAGGCGUUCUUCAAACAUGCCAUGAUUUUCCUACACCCAGACAUUUCAGAUUUGACAAGACCUUAGAACUUUUGUCUAAAGACUUUUGAUGGCCUAAAAUAUGAAACGAUAUUAAAGAAUUUGUACUAUCAUGUGAUACUUGUUUAAGGUCAAAGAAUCCUCAACAUCGACCAUAUAGACUUCUUCAACCUCUUCCUAUUCCAAGACAACCAUGGUCAUCUAUUUCCAUGGAUUUCAUUACAAAUCUUCUACCGUCAAACUCAUUUGAUAUUAUCUUCAUAGUUGUUGAUUGAUUGACCAAGAUGGCAUAUUUUAUACCUUGUAAGAAGUCAAUUACUGGUGAAGAAUCAGCAAGACUCUUUAUUGAUAAUGUCUAUCAUUAACACAAAUUUUCAGAUGAUAUUAAGUCAGAUCGUAGGCCACAAUUUGUAUCAAGGUUUUCGAAGGCACUCUUCAAGAUUCUUAAGAUUAACAUCAACCUUUCUUCUGCCUUUCACCUUCAAACUGAUGGUCAAAUAGAGCGGAGCAACAAAAUUCUUAAACAAUAUUUGAGAUGCAUCAUCAACUAUCAAUAAGAUGACUAGACUUCUUACUUAUUUUUGGCAAAGUUUGCAUAUAACAAUACAAUCCAUAAAUCUAUGCAACAAAUGCCACUCUACUCAAAC